UACGUAGGGGGCUAGCGUUGUCCGGAAUCAUUGGGCGUAAAGCGCGUGUAGGCGGUCCGGUAAGUCCGCUGUGAAAGUCGGGGGCUCAACCCUCGAAUGCCGGUGGAUACUGUCGGGCUAGAGUGCGGAAGAGGCGAGUGGAAUUCCGUGGUGUAGCGGUGAAAUGCGCAGAUAUCAGGAGGAACACCAAUUGCGAAGGCAGCUCGCUGGGACGUAACUGACGCUGAGACGCGAAAGCGUGGGGAGCAAACAGG
rnacentral:rRNA from 1 species